rnacentral:rRNA from 1 species
GAAUUGUUCACAAUGGGCGCAAGCCUGAUGACGCAACGCCGCGUGGGGGAUGAAGGUCUUCGGAUUGUAAACCCCUGUCGACUGGGAUGAAAAACUCGCGAUCUAACACGUCUCGGGAUUGACGGUACCGUUAAAGGAAGCCACGGCUAACUCUGUGCGCGCCGCCGCGGUAAUACACAGGUGGCAAGCGUUGUUCGGAAUUACUGGGCGUAAAGGGCGCGUAGGCGGCCAUCUAAGUCAGACGUGAAAUCCCCCGGCUUAACCUGGGAACUGCGUCUGAUACUGGACGGCUAGAGUAUGGGAGAGGGAUGUAGAAUUCCAGGUGUAGCGGUGAAAUGCGUAGAUAUCUGGAGGAAUACCGGUGGCGAAGGCGGCAUCCUGGACCAUUUACUGACGCUGAGGCGCGAAAGCUAGGGGAGCAAACGGG